AGCACAAUGAUCAUGUCCCUGACUCUACUGCUGGCCACCCUGGGGCUCCUUGUUCAGGGUUCAUCAGCAGAAAUCACUGUGACUCAGUCUGAUAGAUCUCAGUCUGUUCCAGGACAGACUGUCUCCAUCAGGUGUACAACCAGUCAAAGUGUUUAUAGUACAUACAAUGGUUCCCCCCUGAUCAGCUGGUACCUUCAAAAACCUGGACAAGCUCCUAAACUCCUGAUUUAUAAAGCUUCAAUUCUUCAAUCUGGAGUUUCUGAUCGUUUUAGUGGAAGUGGAUCUACAACUGACUUCACUCUGACCAUCAGUGGAGUUCAGGCUGAAGAUUCAGGAGUUUAUUACUGUAAGAGUGCACGCUGGAUCAACAAUCAGGAUGUGUUCACGUUCGGUGGAGGAACCAGACUGGAAGUUGGACGUAAGUCAAUUUCUUUUUUAGACAUCUGAUUAUUUCAGGAGCAAGUGUUCACAUCUCACUGCUCUACAAACUGAAAUAUGAUUUUGAUGUCUUUAUCUUUAAUUUUUGAUCAAUAUUUGUUCUCAUUAGAAACAGAAAUAAUGAAUCAAAACUUUUCUAUUUCAGUAUUUGCUCCAUAAGAUAAAGUGUAUAAUCACAUUUUAAAUGAUUGAAACUUGAGGAUUAAUAAAUGUUCAGAC